UACAGAGGAUGCAAGCGUUAUCCGGAAUGAUUGGGCGUAAAGCGUCUGUAGGUGGCUUUUUAAGUCCGCCGUCAAAUCCCAGGGCUCAACUCUGGACAGGCGGUGGAAACUACCAAGCUGGAGUACGGUAGGGGCAGAGGGAAUUUCCGGUGGAGCGGUGAAAUGCGUAGAGAUCGGAAAGAACACCAACGGCGAAAGCGGCUCUCUGGGACGGUACUGACGCUGAGACGCGAAAGCGUGGGGAGCGAACAGG
rnacentral:rRNA from 1 species